rnacentral:lncRNA from 1 species
CGGACGCACAUCGAUCGCAUCGGACGUCCGAGAAAUUUCGCAAAGAUUUGAUGACUCUCUGACGACGUUCGGACGCAGGGUUCGGACGUCCGACAGGUGGUUUGGACGUCCGACAGGCCAACGGCUAGUUUUGACAGCAUUUAAUAUUUGACCGUUGGAGAGCCUUUUGGAGCCAUUUCUCACCUUCUAUAAAAACCCCAAAGCACAAGAAGACAAGAGACUUUUGCCAACACAAAAUACAAGCUUACAAGUGAGAUUUUUGAGUAGAAAG